rnacentral:rRNA from 1 species
UACGAAGGGGGCUAGCGUUGUUCGGAAUUACUGGGCGUAAAGCGCGCGUAGGCGGUUUUGCAAGCCAGAGGUGAAAUGCCUGAGCUCAACUCAGGAAUGGCCUUUGGGACUGCGAGGCUUUGAGGACUGGAGAGGUGAGUGGAAUUCCCAGUGUAGAGGUGAAAUGCGCAGAUAUCGGGAGGAACACCAGUAGCGAAGGCGGCUCGCUGGGCCAUACCUGACGCUGAGACGCGAAAGCGUGGGGAGCAAACAGG